rnacentral:piRNA from 1 species
UGCACAGAUAUGCACUUGUAUCUGUAGUUU